UUGUUCCUUGCAGGGGAGUUAGGUUAGAUGAUCUUUAAAGAUCCUUUUCAUCUCAAAUGAUUUUAUGAUGAUUCUGAGACUUGUUUCGUUCAGCUUCGUGACCAUGGUAUAUAUCACAUGAAAAGAUGAGCGUUUGUCUCCUCUUCAGCUUAGUUCACUUCUUUACAAUGAUAAGAUGAAGCAAAGUAAAGAUCAGCUGCAAGAAAGACUUGGAAGAGUAAAAAGCACCGAGCAGACCAGGAGCUAAGGACUUUUAUGAUUGAUAGACCAAACGUACCACCAUCUGAAGGGUAUAGCUCAGUAGCCAUUUUCAGAGCAUGACUACAGGAAAAGACCCUGAACUGCUGCAACUGUUCAUCUCAGAUUAUGUGAUAGGAAGAAGAAAAAGAAGAGGAAGAAAGAUAGGAAGAAGAAAAAACAUCAAAACAACAAAUAAAACCUAGCCUAGCUUUCCUCAUAUUGACCAAAUUAGGAUUCUUUUUCUGUGUCACGUAACAUUUAUCUUUUUAUAGAGCAGUGACAAUUAUAUGGCUUUUCCUUUGUCUCGUCUUGGCUAUACUGCGGUGAUUUGCAACAAAACUGAUGUUUAUAUAUUCAUUUUCACUCCAAGAGCAGGCUGCUGCUGUGUCUGAAAGAAACGUUUAAACUUCUCGUUUGUCAUUUUUCUAUUGUUUUUGGUUGGAUUUUUUUAUUUUUUUAUUUUUUGCUUUUUGGUGUUUUUUUUCCUAUGUCUCUUUUGUUGUUGUCUGUCAUAUUGGCUCCCUACUUCAGUAUUUAUUAUUCUUUACACUUUUUUUUUUCCCUACAGCACAGCAUUUCAUCUCAGAUGACUGUUUGACCACAGUGUUUCUCUGUAAAAGACGCAUGUAGCAGUUUUGAAAAGUCUACUUAGGUCUUACCACCUAUUUUAUCAGCUAAAAUGCUGAAGGUUAUGCUUAGAUUUCAUAUAUAUAUAUAUA
rnacentral:lncRNA from 1 species